AAGGUUAAUAGUUUGAUUAAAUUGGUUGGUUUCCAUCGACCUCCCUCUCCACCAUCUUUUCUUGAUUUUUAUUUCUUGAUUGGUGAACUUCUAGAGAAGCCUCCCCUCAUAUCAGGUAUUUAGAUCAGGAACCGAGAUCUUGAAUGGCAAGAAACCGAAUCCACCUGUGAAGGAUGAAUCCCAAAACAAUUCCAAAUCAACGCAAAUCUUGAAAGAUCGCAAAUCAGGAUAACAAAUAGGGUCGUCGAUUCAAAUCGUCCCUCCAAUCCAAACCCAAAAUCGAAGAUCGCUCAGGAUUGCAAAAAUAGAAGAAGCUUGAUCAAGAUUGUAACAACUCCAUCGGAGGAUGAAUUCAUAAGUUGAAAGCAUCAAUGUAACAACCGUUCUUGAUUACCGGUCGUUAGAGAACAUAAACUGAAAAAAUCCCACACAUGGGCAUAAGAUUGAGAAGAAUCACCCGAAGGAGUCUGAGAUUGAGAAGAAAAAUUUCCUGAAAGAGUCUGAGGUUAAGAAGAAGAAUCUCCUGAAGGAGCCUGAGGUUGAGAAAAAGAAUCUUCCGACACUACAAAAAAACAGGGCUACGCCCACGGACUUAGCCACGGUUAGUAAAAGCCGUGGCUAAUUGUUGAAUAUUAGCCACGGCUUUUUUAGCCGUUGCUAAGCCCGUGGCUAAUUUGAAUAUUUAGCCACGGAUGUAAAAAAUUCCCGAUAAAAAUUCUUUUCAUUUUUUCAUUGAAUAUUUAGUCACGGAUUUGGCUAAUCCGUGGCAAAAUUUUCUAGCAAAAAUUCCCUCCAUUUUUUCACUCAUAUUUUGCCACGGAUUUGAAGGAGCCGUGGCUAAUUUAGUGACAAUUAAAUUAGCCACUGAUAUUUUAUAAUUAUUUUGCCACGGAAAAUCAAUUCCGUGGCUAAAAAUCAGUAGCCACUAGACCUACAACCACGACCACUCUCGUGGUAAAUUCCCGUGGCUAAAUUGAACUUGGCCGUGAUUGUUUCCCUGUUUCUUGUAGUGCGAAAGAGCCUUAGGGAGAAACAAAACUUUGUUGAGUAUUCUAUUCAUAUCUUUUCAUUCACUUUAG
rnacentral:lncRNA from 1 species